AGUGUAGAGACACUCCUAAGGACUUACUUAUUCAAGUAACAGAGGCCACAAAGAUAACCAGUCAAGUUUAUUUUUAUUUAUUUUUUUAAUAAUUUCCGAAAUACUCAGUAAACUAAGCCAUAGAGGUUUUUCUUUCCUCCCUUCCUAAGCCUCAGAUUCUUUUAUUUCGAACUAACUUACAACUAGAUCAACAUAUUGAAUAUGUGGAAUUAAACCCAGAGCUUCUAAAUAAACAAA
rnacentral:lncRNA from 1 species